rnacentral:tRNA from 1 species
GGGGUGCUAGCUCAUGUUGGUAGAGCGCCUGCCUUGCAAGCAGGAGGUGCGUUGGGUUCGAGACCCCGGCACUCCA